GCUAUGCCCGAUCUCGUCUGAUCUCGGAAGCUAAGCAGGGUUGGGCCUGGUUAGUACUUGGAUGGGAGACCGCCUGGGAAUACCAAGUGCUGUAAGCUU
rnacentral:rRNA from 1 species